AGACCCGAAACCCGGUGAUCUAGCCAUGGGCAGGUUGAAGGUUGGGUAACACUAACUGGAGGACCGAACCGACUAAUGUUGAAAAAUUAGCGGAUGACCUGUGGCUGGGGGUGAAAGGCCAAUCAAACCGGGAGAUAGCUGGUUCUCCCCGAAAGCUAUUUAGGUAGCGCCUCGUGAAUUCAUCUCCGGGGGUAGAGCACUGUUUCGGCUAGGGGGCCAUCCCGGCUUACCAACCCGAUGCAAACUGCGAAUACCGGAGAAUGUUAUCACGGGAGACACACGGCGGGUGCUAACGUCCGUCGUGAAGAGGGAAACAACCCAGACCGCCAGCUAAGGUCCCAAAGUCAUGGUUAAGUGGGAAACGAUGUGGGAAGGCCCAGACAGCCAGGAUGUUGGCUUAGAAGCAGCCAUCAUUUAAAGAAAGCGUAAUAGCUCACUGGUCGAGUCGGCCUGCGCGGAAGAUGUAACGGGGCUAAACCAUGCACCGAAGCUGCGGCAGCGACACUCAGGUGUUGUUGGGUAGGGGAGCGUUCUGUAAGCCUGCGAAGGUGGCCUGUGAGGGUUGCUGGAGGUAUCAGAAGUGCGAAUGCUGACAUAAGUAACGAUAAAGCGGGUGAAAAGCCCGCUCGCCGGAAGACCAAGGGUUCCUGUCCAACGUUAAUCGGGGCAGGGUGAGUCGACCCCUAAGGCGAGGCCGAAAGGCGUAGUCGAUGGGAAACGGGUUAAUAUUCCCGUACUUGGUGUUACUGCGAAGGGGGGACGGAGAAGGCUAUGUUGGCCGGGCGACGGUUGUCCCGGUUUAAGCGUGUAGGUGUGUGUUCCAGGUAAAUCCGGUUCACUUUAACACUGAGGCGUGACGACGAGGCACUACGGUGCUGAAGCAACAAAUGCCCUGCUUCCAGGAAA
rnacentral:rRNA from 1 species